GGGGAUUUAGCUCAGUGGUAGAGUGCUUGCCUAGCAAGUGCAAUGCCCUGGGUUCAGUCCCCA
rnacentral:tRNA from 1 species